AUUUUACUGAAGAACAGUUGAAAAAAAUUUUCAUGGAAUUCGACGAGAAUCGCGACAAUCUUCUCAGCAAAGAUGAGAUAAAAAAAGCUUUCAACUACCUUGGAGCAAUGAUUCCUGAGUUCAGGGCAAUCCGUGGGAUAAAAAAAGCUGAUACUAAUGGAGAUGGAAUGGUGGAUCUUAGCGAGUUGAAUGAUCUUAUCAGUUAUGCUUUUAAACUUGGAUACUCUGUUAAGUAGAAAUUAGAAGCAGCUGCUAGGUUUACUCUUUAAAAUAAAGGGUUGUGUGUUGUGUAUGCAGUUGUUAAUUUUCUCAGUUCACUGCCACCAGCUAUGAAGUUGUAGCUUCUUUUCUAUUUCGAUAGAAAUAUAUAUAUAUAGUAUCUCUUAUAUGCCCUUUAAAUUAAAUAUAUAUUAUUGUAUUUUUUUAGAUAAAUUAUAUUUUAAUUCCUGAAUCGAUUCUUAUUUCUAAAAUCAAACGCUUAAAUUUUUAUAUAAUCAAUCCAUUCAAAUUGGAUAUUUUUCUAUCCAUAAUUUUAUUAGUUAACCAAUCAAAAGAAGAAUAAAUAUUUAAAAUAUUUAAAACACCUUCAUGAACACUUAAAUUAUUUUCAAUAUAGGUAAUUUGUGUAAAAUGCACUUUGAUUCCUAAAUUUUAACAUAACUGAUGGAUCAAUUUUUAUAUUUCUAAAACUAAAUUUUUAAAUUUCUCGAUAUUUAAUCCGUUUAAAAUUAUAAUUUUUUCAUCCAUUAUAGAUAUUAGUUCAAAACUAGCCUAUAAUCAAAUUGUUUUCCAAAAUACAAUUUUUUCUUAAAAUAUUUUUUAUAAAAAUUUACAACUGGCCUAAAUUCAAAAUUGAAUAAUAAAAUUAUAAAUAUUAAAGUAUUUUAAUGAAUAGAAAUUGAAUGAUAAAAAGUGUUAAAAAUUAGUUAAAUGUGAUUUAAAUGUACGUUUUUAAAAAUACAAAAAUCGAUAUAUUAAUUAUAUUAAAACUCAAAAAUUUAAUUAUAAUUUAUCCAUUUAAAAAAAUAAUAAAAAUAUUUCUAUACUUUUAACGAUAAAAAUAGAUGAUAUCACUUUUAAUUUGAAUGAACUAAUUAUAAAAAAAUUUAAAUAAUUAAUUUUAAAAAUAUAAAAAUUAAUCGAUUAAUUAUAUUAAAAAAUUAAAAAUUAAAUUAUAAUUUAAGAUUAAAGUGUAAUUUACCUUUUUUCUAACACGUAAAAUUAAAGCCUUAACCUAAAAUUUUAAAACUUUACACUUUCUAUGAUUAUAUAUCCGUUUUAUAUCCACUCUAAAUAAAACUCUAGAAAAUUAGCGGGUACAGUAGAAUUUUUUUUUUAAUUUAAACAAUAACGUAAUUUUUAAUAUUUUGAGUUACCUAAGUUUUGUUUAUAAAAUUAAAAAUAUAUUUUAUAUUUUUUAAUAGUUGACUUAAUUAAAAAAAUUUCAUAUAAUUAAAUUUGACAACCAGUCGCAAGGUGAGAAUUUUUACAUAUGAAAUUCAGUAGAAGCGUAAUUUCAUUUCUGCUUCUAUUUUUAAAUUUUCUUUUCCAAAAAAGGCAAGAUAUUUGUCUACGUAAUUUUUAAGGACUAUAAUUUAGGAAUGAUUGUGGAGAAUAUUUCUAAAUAUUAUUGUUAAAUAGGAAUAAUUUUUUAAAAAAAUUCUAAAAACUUUAUCACUUUUAAUAAUUCUAUUUUUUAAAAGAAAAAAAACUAUUAUAAACUAAUUCUAUCAUUAACCUCUUUUAUUAAAUUUAAUCGUAUUAUUGAAUUUUAUAUUAAUUUGGAUUACAAAUAAUAUAUUCUUUAAAAGAGAUUAAAAUACUUUUCCUCUUAAAUUAAUUUUUAAGGUGAAUUAUUCUGACUCAAAUUUAACAUAUACCAGGGGCUUUCACCACCGAUAUUGAACCUCCCAAUGUCACACUCCUAGUCUCAAAUUUAACAUAAAAAAAAUUUGAUUUAAAAUUUAGCUGUUACUCUUUAUUAAUUUAUAAUAUAUUUGAGAAUUUAGAAAAAUAAAGAAUAAAAUUAUAAAUUAUAUUAAGUGAAACUAAAGGCGCUACACAUCGGAUGGCUGUUUUUUUAAUAAAAAAGGGUAAUUUUGGUAGGUUUAGUAAAUUAAAAUUUCAAUAAAUUAAGUCAAGUAAAUUAUUUUAUUCAGGACUGUUUGAUUUCAGCUAUACGGUUGUCGCAGUGUUCUUGGCAUGGUGUACGUCGGAUGGCGAAAGAAGUUGCACAUCGUCUUGCGAAGCUAAAUUUAGGAGAUGUGGAGAAAGUGUUGACAGAAGAAGUUCCAAACUCUUAUCUUUUUAUAUAAAACACAAGCAAAAUAUUCCAUUUAAAUUAAAAAAAUCAAUUUAAAAAGAAGUUUAUAUUGAAUAAUCACCUGAUUUUAUUGCUGGAGUUAGGCAAGAUUUAUAAACUUCAAAAUCCCUCUAUGGCUUAAAACAGAGUACUCAAGCAUAGUUUAGCAAGUUUAGUGAGAUGGUUUAAGAGUUUGAUAUAUAGAUUAAUAAGUGUGAUCACUCAAUAUAUUUUAUAGAAAUUCUGAUAGUAGAAUAAUGCUAUUGGUAGUAUAUGUGGAUAAUAUUAUUAUCAUAGAAAGUGAUGUUGAUGGCAUUACAUCUCUAAAAUAAUUUCUCAAACUGAAGUUUCAUAAAAAGAGUUUGGGCUCCUUAUAGUACUUUUUAGGUAUUAAAGUUAUGCAGUGUAAGAAAAAUAUUUUCUUAUCUCAAAGAAAAUAUAUUCUUGAUUUGUUGAUAAAAAUAGAAAAAUUGGGUGUUAAGCCUUGUAGUGCACUAAUGACCCUAAUUUAUAAUUUACCACAAAAGACAAUGAGCCAUACAGAUCUUGAAAUGUAUAGAAAAUUAGUUGACAAACUGAAUUAUUUGACGGUGACUCGUCCUGAUAUUGCAUAUUCAGUUAAUGUAGUAAAUCACUUUAUAUCUUUCCCUACUGUUACUCAUUGGGAUGCUUUGGAGCAGAUUGUUUGCUACUUGGGUUCCAAGAUGUGGUCUUUUCUAUGGUAACUAUGGGUACUCAAACAUUAAAUGUUUAUCUAAUGUUGAUUAGGCAAGUUCAAAAGUUGAUAAGAUGUCAAUCACUGGAUAUUGUGUUUUUAUGGAAGGUAACUUGAUCUCAUGGAGAAGUAAGAAGCAAAAUAUAGUCUCUCGUUCUAGUGCUGAAUCUGAGCGUGGUGUGAUAAUCAAACAGUUAUCUACAUUACCUCUAAUCCAUAUUUCAUGAGAGGACUAAACAUAUCGAGAUCAACUGUCAUUUUGUUUGUAAAAAAAUCCAACAAAAGAUUAUUUCAAUAGGACAUAUCAGAAUUGGAAAUAAUUAAGGGAUAUUUCACUAAAACUCUAAUCGGAACUCGAAUCGACUAUAUAUGUAAUAAGUUAGGAAUAAUUAAUAUUUAUAUUCCAAUUAUAGGGGAGUGUUAUAGGAAGUAGGUAUGUUGAUAUAGGAACUAAAUAUGUAUAGAUUUAUUAGUUGCUUAAUUUUAGAAAUUGCAUGAUUAUAGAUUUGAUAAAAGGAUUUUUCUUUACUUUCUAAAUAGAUUUUUUUUUAUGUGUAAAUAUGUUAUAAUCUUUACUAGUAUACUCUCGAUCCAAUUAGAGCUAAGCUAUCACACUUUUAUCGUAUAAAAAUAAAUUUAUUUAUUUUUUUAUAUAAAUUAAGAAAAUAUAAUUAAUAUAGCUAAAAACAAUAAAUAUUAUAUAAUCUUUACUAAUAUACUCCCGACUCAUGUUUUUUCAGUACUACGUUACUUUUAAAUUUAUAAAAGUAUUACGAAUCAUAUAAAUCAAUUUAAUUAUAAUAAAUUUAGAAAACGAAUACUAUUGAAUUUGUCCAAUUCAUUUGCCCAAUAAGGCACAUACAAUCAGAAAAUCAAGAUCAUAUAUAAAAUUAGAGCCCAAACAAAUUCUAUAAUAUCACAAUUCUUAUCUACGUGAAUCCAAAGAAAAAGGUUCAUUGGCUAAAAAAACUUUAAUGUUUGUGAUUUUAUAUUUUAAUUUAAAUAUUUAAAAUUUAAAUAAAUUCGCACAAUGUAUGCAUUUACUUUUGAUUAAUUUUAAAAUUAGAAUUAAUUAAAAAUAAAUAAUUUAAUUAUUAAAUAUACAAACUACACAUUCAAUAUUAUUGAAUUUUAUUUUAUAUAAUAAUUAUAAAUAUUUUAUACUAGAUAUAUUAUUUAAUUUAAAAUAAUAAUAUAUAUAAAACAAUUAAAAAUAAUAUAUCUAUUAUAAAUUUUUCAUAAUUAUUAUUACAAAAUAAAAUCUAUCUAUUAUUGAAAUUAUAAACUAUAUAUUUAACCGUUAAAUUAUUAUUAUUUUUAAAAUUAAAUAUAUUAAAUUUAUAAUAUUUUUAUAGGUAGAAUUAAUUUAUACUUAAACUCUCUUAUUUUGAUUUUGAAAAUUAAUCAAAAUAAUAAUUAAAUAUAAAUAUUAGAUUAAUUUGUUUAAAGAUUAAAUAUUUGGAUUAAAAUAUAAAAUAAACUAAACUUUAGAUAUUUUUCAGCUAAUUAAAUAAAAAAAUAAAUAUGUGGUUCUAAUUAUUUUUAUAAUUAUUGUCUUAAUAUACAUAUAUCAUAUCUAUAUAAAAAGCAAUUUUUAUUUAAAUCGGUCUAGAUACAAAUACAAAAAUUUAAAAUUCAGGACACUCAAUUUAAAUAAGUAAUUAAAAUAAACAAAAUAUAUUAUUUUCUAUUAUAUUAUUUUAUUGAUUUUUUAUUAUUAUUCAAAGUUAUUAUUUUUUAUUAUAAUAAUAAAUAAUUAAUUAUUAUAAUUUUAUUUAAUUUUAUGUUAUUUCUAAAUAAUUUUAUGUUAUUUCUAAAUCAAUCUACCAUUAAUUAUUAUUUUCUAAAUAAAUAUUUAAAAUAUUUUUUAAUAUUUAAUAAAAUUAAAUUUUUAAAAUGAAUAUAAUUGAAAAGUCAAUAAAAUAAAAUAUUUUUUUUAAUAUAUGUGAAAAAUUAAAAGAAAUAAAAAUUAUAGAGUAAAAAAAUAUAAAAUAAAUAUAUAUUUAAAAAAUAAAUUUUUAUAAAAAAUAAUUAAACUAUUAUAAUUAAAUUAUAAUCAUUCUCAUCUACUUUUUUUAUUGAAAUAUAUUUUUAAUGAUAUUAUCCGGUGUUUGCAGAUAUGUCCUUCAUUACCCAUCAAUUAUUUAUAAUUUAUUAUUAUAAGUUAACUUUUAAUAAUAUUUAUAGUAGAAAAAUCUCUUUUUGCUAUGAUUGUAAUAUAUGCAAAUCCAUAAAAAACCAAUACUAUUAAAAUAAUAUAAUAUUUUAACACAUAGUUUAUUAUUGAAAUUUAAUUUUUAUAAAAUAAUAAAUAUUCUACUCUACUAAAAUUUAUUUUUAUAUAAUUUUAAACAUAUAAAUAGAUUAGUAAUUAAGUGAAAUAAAUAAAAGAAAAACUAUGACUUAAUAAUAAAAAUGGUAUAUAAAAUUUUGUACGGAUUCUACUCCUAUUUUAAAUUAUGAGUUUAUAUUGAUUCAAUUUACAUAAAUAUUUUCUCUAAAUAAGUAUUUUUGGGUUAUAAAGCGACAAGUGCAUGUUGGGAGAUGCCAAUCCAAAGUUAGAAUUCUUUGUGUGGUGAGAGAUAAGUGCACGUAGGGAGAUGCUACACCAAAGUUAGAAUUCUUGUGUGAUAGUGAUAGGAGAGUAACCUUGCACAAAGAUAAGUUAGAAUCCUGCAAGUAGAAGUGUGAAAGGAGCUUGAAGAAGUCUAUAUAAACCCUCAGUACCCCAUGCAAGCCAACAGUAUCUUCCUUAAUUCAAUACACAGCCACCUUUUGAAAAUAUGACACGAAAGCUUUCUAACAAAGCUGCGUCGGUAGAGAUUAAGAAAGAUCAGUUGAGGAAAAUUUUCAUGCAAUUCGACGAAAAUCAUGACAAUGUUCUCAGCAGCGGCGAGAUAAAGAAAGCAUUCAAGCACCUUGGGGCAACGAUUCCUCUCUACAGAGCAAUACUUGGGAAGAAGUAUGCUGAUGGCAAUAAAGAUGGAGUGAUCGACAUGAACGAAUUAGAUGACCUCGUGGAAUAUACUUAUAAGCUUCAGUAUGAAAUUAACUAGAACUUGUAAGUUACAAAAUUUGCACUAUUAUAAAUAAAGGAUUGUGUGCUGAGUGUGCACUCUAGCUUUUAAUUUUAUUUGUACUAAUGUGAUGUUCACCAGAUUUACUGUUGUAAUAUUAGAUCUAAAGGUGGUAAUCUCCGUAUUAUAUUUUUUAAGUAUUCUGAAUUUGCGAAUAUUUAUUUUAUUCAUGAAAAUUAAACUCACUUAUUAAUUUUAUUUUAAUUUAGUACGGUGAUUAAAAAAUUAUAUUAUUCUUUUAAUAGAGCUAGGUUCAUAUAUUUUCACUAAAAAUGGAUUUCCACUUUCUGCCUCAAAAGUAAUUUCCAUGUUGAAAGGCAUGCCCAAGAUGAAGUUUCAAUUGAAGAAAUUUGGGUUGCAAAUAUCUAUUUUGUGUUUUAUUCUUCUUAUCUCACUUCUCCCUAUCAGCGUAACCCUUUAUAUAUUAUCACUACAUAUCUAUUUUAUGUUUUAUUCUUCUAUCUCACUUCUCCUUAUCA
rnacentral:lncRNA from 1 species